CUUUCUUUCUUUCUAUUUUUUUUUUCUUUUUACAGAGUCUCCCUCUGUCCCCCAGAAUGGAACAGUCAUGGAUCCUGACUCACUGCCACCUUGACUUCCGGGACUCAAGGAAUCCCCCCACCUCUGCCUCCUAAAGUGCUGGGAUUACAGGCCAGGCAUGAGCCACCAGCUGGGCUAGAAUUUACAUUUUUAACAGGUUCCCAAAUGCAAGUUGAUGCUGCUGGUCUAGGGACGCAUCUUGUGAAUCUGUACAGUGAUAAACCUGCACUUGAGAAGGUUCAAAUUUCACUUCAUCCACCCUUUAUUGUGGACCAAGUUAGACAGGAUGAGAGGAGAUGCUGGGCUUUGGUUAAAGAGCAGAGGUGGAGAAAAAGAUGGAGAGUAUAAGGCAGUUCCUUGGAAAUAGAGUGGAUACUGAGGGAAUAUGAUGACAUAGAGGAGGGAUGACCCGAGGGGCACAGCCGCAGCCAUGACUAUGGAUCUAUGAUUUUGGGUUGUGUAAAGAGAUCAAUGCCCCCAAAUGAGUGCUGCAGACCAGGUUCUGAAUGUGACUCGGUGACAGCUUGAGGUCUUCUCAACAUCACCAGGACAGGACCUGGGCUUGAGGACCAUCUGUCAUCUCACUCUGGAUCACCUCCCUUCCCUCCAUGACUCAGGGAGAAAGAACCCAGGCCUUCAACUCCUAGCUACGGCCCCUUCCUGGAAAAAUAUCUGUUAGAUUAAAAGUUCACAUACCAGCUUAGCUACUUACCUGGUAUGGAACCCUAGACAAGCUACUUAACUUCUCUGUGCCUCAGUUUCCUCAUCUAACAAAUGGAGAUAACAUUAUCUUCCUCAUAUUUAUUAUAAGAAUUCAGCGCAAACACACGUAAAGAGAUUGGAAGAGUGCCAGUCACAUAAUAAACAUUCAGAA
rnacentral:lncRNA from 1 species